CUCAACCUCGGAACUGCCUUUGAUACUGCCAGUCUAGAGUCCGGCAGAGGUGAGUGGAAUUCCUAGUGUAGAGGUGAAAUUCGUAGAUAUUAGGAAGAACACCAGUGGCGAAGGCGGCUCACUGGGCCGAGACUGACGCUGAGGCGCGAAAGCGUGGGGAGCAAACAGGACUAGAUACCCUGGUAGUCCACGCCGUAAACGAUGGAUGCUAGCCGUUGGGCAGCAUGCUGUUCAGUGGCGCAGCUAACGCAUUAAGCAUCCCGCCUGGGGAGUACGGCCGCAAGGCUAAAACUCAAAGGAAUUGACGGGGGCCCGCACAAGCGGUGGAGCAUGUGGUUUAAUUCGAGGCAACGCGAAGAACCUUACCAGCCCUUGACAUCCCGUCGCGGACCCAGAGAUGGGUCCUUCGGUUCGGCCGGAC
rnacentral:rRNA from 1 species